GAACCUUACCUGGGCUCGAAAUGGUAUGGACCGGGGUAGAAAUAUCCCUUCCCAGCAAUGGGCCGUACUAUAGGUGCUGCAUGGCUGUCGUCAGCUCGUGUCGUGAGAUGUUGGGUUAAGUCCCGCAACGAGCGCAACCCUUAUCUCCAGUUGCUACCAUUUAGUUGAGCACUCUGGCGAAACCGCCUCGGAUAACGGGGAGGAAGGUGGGGAUGACGUCAAGUCCUCAUGGCCUUUAUGUCCAGGGCUACACACGUGCUACAAUGGCCGGUACAAACCGUCGCAAACCCGUGAGGGGGAGCUAAUCGGAAAAAGCCGGCCUCAGUUCGGAUCGCAGUCUGCAACUCGACUGCGUGAAGCUGGAAUCGCUAGUAAUCGCGGAUCAGAAUGCCGCGGUGAAUACGUUCCCGGGCCUUGUCACACCGA
rnacentral:rRNA from 1 species